rnacentral:rRNA from 1 species
CCUACGGGAGGCUGCAGUGGGGAAUAUUGCACAAUGGGGGAAACCCUGAUGCAGCGACGCCGCGUGAGUGAAGAAGUAUUUCGGUACGUAAAGCUCUAUCAGCAGGGAAGAAAAUGAUGGUACCUGACUAAGAAGCCCCGGCUAACUCCGUGCCAGCAGCCGCGGUAAUACGUAGGGGGCAAGCGUUAUCCGGUUUUACUGGGUGUAAAGGGAGCGUAGACGGCAGCGCAAGUCUGGAGUGAAAUCCCAUGGCUUAACCAUGGAACUGCUUUGGAAACUGUGCAGCUAGAGUGCAGGAGAGGUAAGCGGAAUUCCUAGUGUAGCGGUGAAAUGCGUAGAGAUUAGGAGGAACACCAGUGGCGAAGGCGGCUUACUGGACUGUAACUGACGUUGAGGCUCGAAAGCGUGGGGAGCAAACAGGAUUAGAUACCCGAGUAGUC